rnacentral:piRNA from 1 species
UAGAGAAGUAGAAGUCAUUUG